AGUCCUCUGUGCACAAUUUUAUCAUUUUUUACGCAAAUAUAUCGUUUAAUCGUCAAUUUUUUCUCUCUCUGUCUGUUAUGAUUUAACAAAUAUGGCUACUCAUUAAAUGCCGUGUUUUGAAGCCGACGUUUACUGAUUGUCACCUUAUAGUAAACAAAUAACAAAACGCAUGGGUAUUGAGCACGUGUUUAAUAUGUAUAAUCAGAUAAUUGUUUAUUUUAAUGACAGAUCCAUGCGUAUUGCGAUCACCGGAUUUUUACGAGGAGGG
rnacentral:lncRNA from 1 species